rnacentral:rRNA from 1 species
UACCUGAUGGUAUGAUGAGAUUGCAUGAUAGCAUCAUUAAAGAUUUAUCGGUGUACGAUGGGGAUGCGUUCCAUUAGGUAGUAGGCGGGGUAACGGCCCACCUAGCCAACGAUGGAUAGGGGUUCUGAGAGGAAGGUCCCCCACAUUGGAACUGAGACACGGUCCAGACUCCUACGGGAGGCAGCAGUGAGGAAUAUUGGUCAAUGGACGAGAGUCUGAACCAGCCAAGUAGCGUGAAGGAUGAAGGUCCUACGGAUUGUAAACUUCUUUUAUAAGGGAAUAAACCCUCCCACGUGUGGGAGCUUGUAUGUACCUUAUGAAUAAGCAUCGGCUAACUCCAUGCCAGCAGCCGCGGUAAUACGGAGGAUGCGAGCGUUAUCCGGAUUUAUUGGGUUUAAAGGGAGCGCAGACGGGUCGUUAAGUCAGCUGUGAAAGUUUGGGGCUCAACCUUAAAAUUGCAGUUGAUACUGGCGUCCUUGAGUGCGGUUGAGGUGUGCGGAAUUCGUGGUGUAGCGGUGAAAUGCUUAGAUAUCACGAAGAACUCCGAUUGCGAAGGCAGCACACUAAUCCGUAACUGACGUUCAUGCUCGAAAGUGUGGGUAUCAAACAGGAUUAGAUACCCUG